rnacentral:other from 13 species
GUUGCUAUCCCUCUAGGGAUGAUCAGCGAC